rnacentral:lncRNA from 1 species
ACUGUGACCAAAUGUGAGGAUCUGAGCACAGACUGCUGUCGGGAGCAGAGAAACGCCCUGCCUUGAGUGUGGGGCAGGAAUGCCUAUGUGAGAGGUUAACCAGAUAUAGGACUCCUCUGUCUUGCUACGAUGGACAGCCACAAGGAUUCACUUGAAUAAAAGAAGCAACAGUGGGUGCCAGGCUGUUUGAAUUCUUAUUCGGGGUCCAGAGAGAUGGGUAAGAGCAUUUGUUGCUCUUGCAGCGGACCUGGGUUUGGUGUCUAACAUCCAUGUGGUGGCUCACAUCCAUCAGUAACUCCAUUCGAGGAGAUCCAAUACCCUCUACUGCCCUCCUCUAGUACCACACAGAGUUUGAUUUUGAUUUUGAUUUCUGGCAGUGCUGUGGAUUGAAUGGCGGGCCUUGCACAGAAAUGUGCUGUUUUGUUAUACAUUUAUUACAAAGAAUCUCACAAAAA